GCAAGUCGAACGAGAAAGUACCUUCGGGUGCGAGUACAGUGGCGGACGGGUGAGUAACGCGUAGGAAUCUACCUUGUAGUGGGGGACAACUUGGGGAAACUCAAGCUAAUACCGCAUAAUACCUAAGGGUGAAAGUGGGGGAUCUUCGGACCUCACGCUAUUAGAGGAGCCUGCGUUGGAUUAGCUAGUUGGUGAGGUAAUGGCUCACCAAGGCGACGAUCUCUAGCUGGUCUGAGAGGAUGAUC
rnacentral:rRNA from 1 species